ensembl:lncRNA
CUUGUGUGUUUGCACGGUACCUGGCACUCCUGUGUGCCUGUUUGUCUCCCUGCCAGACUCCCCCUAAGAGCUGGGACCAUGCCCUGCUGUAUCCUUGGUGCUUGGCACAUUCCUUGGCAUGGAAUAGAAUUCAAAAUAUUUGGAAUAAACAAAGGACGCCGCCAUAGGGAUUCCCAGCUGGUUGACUCAUCCUUCUGUGGAAGCCAAAGAAUGGACCCAGACAUGGAUGAAGGUCGGGUGAAGGUCAUGAACACUGCAACACAGGCGCCAUCCCAUGUGACGUCCUUUCUGAACGACUCCACUGAAGACGAGCUUUGCUCUGACUCGCGAGGCCUGCGAAGCCAGGCAGAAGUCAGGGUGUUGGGAAACGGCCAAAGAGAGGAGAUAAGAGGUUGUGGCUGUGGACUUGUGCCAGUUCUGACCCAUCCAUUGUGGAUGAAAAUGAUAAAGCUCGUCCAGAUAUGGCCACGCAAAGCACUCACGCCUCUCUCCACACUGGCUCUGGGUUCUUGAAGAAGAGCAUAGACUAAAAGCAGGGGAAAACAUGAGUACCAAUGAACAGUGGGAUUAUAAGUGAUCUUUUUUCCACUUUUUUUCAACUUUCUAUAACUUUUCAACUUUUCUGCUCAAAAUCUGUAUGAUAACCAAAC